rnacentral:lncRNA from 1 species
CCAAUCUCAGUGUGGUUUAAAUAUUUAAAACAAAGCUUAUGAAGUCUUAGAAAUUGCUGAAGCAAAGGUGCUUGGAAGCUCUAUCACUUGAAAUGGCAGAUGAAACCUAAGCAAAAUGUGACUAAAAUUAAUUGUGAUGUCACGGCUUUCUUAGAAUCGUUUGGUAGUAGAUAUAGUUGUUGUUGUGAGGGACUGAAACAGUGUCUUGAUUGGAAGUGAAAGUUCUAGAAUUUAUACCUCUUCAACGUGGAUGACAGAAGCUUUGGCCAUUUGACUGGGUGCUUCCAUUGUCGCUUGCUACCAUUGGACUAAAGUGGAGAUAGAAUCUGAC